rnacentral:rRNA from 1 species
UACGAAGGGGGCUAGCGUUGCUCGGAAUUACUGGGCGUAAAGCGCACGUAGGCGGCUUUCUAAGUCGGGGGUGAAAUCCUGGAGCUCAACUCCAGAACUGCCUUCGAUACUGGCGAUCUUGAGUCCGGAAGAGGUGAGUGGAACUCCUAGUGUAGAGGUGGAUCGUAGAUAUUAGGAAGAACACCAGUGGCCGAAGGCGGC